rnacentral:rRNA from 1 species
UACAGGGGGUGCAAACGUUGCUCGGAAUCAUUGGGCGUAAAGCGCACGUAGGCGGUCUGUUAUGUCGGGAUGUGAAAGCCCUUGGCUCAACUGAGGAAGUGCAUCCGAAACUGGCAGCUAGAGUACGAAAGAGGAUCGCGGAAUUCCCGGUGUAGAGGUGAAAUUCGUAGAUAUCGGGAGGAACACCGGUGCGAAGGCGGCGAUCUGGGUCGAUACUGACGCUGAGGUGCGAAAGCGUGGGGAGCAAACAGGG